AUUGAACGCUGGCGGCAUGCCUUACACAUGCAAGUCGAACGGAUUCAAGAGGCUUGCUUCUUGAGUUAGUGGCGAACGGGUGAGUAAAGCAUCGGAACGUACCCAGUUGUGGGGGAUAACGUAGCGAAAGUUACGCUAAUACCGCAUACGCACUGAGGUGGAAAGCGGGGGACCGAAAGGCCUCGCGCAAUUGGAGCGGCCGAUGUCGGAUUAGCUAGUUGGUGAGGUAAAGGCUCACCAAGGCGACGAUCCGUAGCUGGUCUGAGAGGACGACCAGCCACACUGGAACUGAGACACGGUCCAGACUCCUACGGGAGGCAGCAGUGGGGAAGUUUGGACAAUGGGCGAAAGCCUGAUCCAGCCAUACCGCGUGAGUGAAGAAGGCCUUCGGGUUGUAAAGCUCUUUCAGACGGAAAGAAAUCUUUCGGGUGAAUAUCCCGGAAGGAUGACGGUACCGUAAGAAGAAGCACCGGCUAACUACGUGCCAGCCGCCGCCGUAA
rnacentral:rRNA from 1 species